AUGUGAGCCUUUACAGACAAGGAGUUUUGGACAGCCUCUUGUAAAGUGUUUAUAAAGUGGGUUUUGAUGGUUCAAAGGGCCAGAGAUCGACCUCUCAUCAUCAGCAACAUGCAGUAACUGGGGUGUCUGGCAUGCUUGAAUGGGAAAUAGUGUUUGGGUCAAGAAGACUUUUACUGAUGCAGUGUGGGGAAAGGGGACUUUCAAGAGUAGGGUUUAACAAAAGUAUACCUGCUGGAUGAAGCAGGGCAUGCGUAGAGAACAUCUGUGAGACAGGAGGCAGCAGGUUGCACAGCAAUGUGUGGAUGACCCAUAUGGUGUCAAUGCAGUAGUGGUGAUUGAAGACCAAUCCUUCCCCCUCUGGAGGAAUCAUCUCACUGUCCCACAGCAAUGUGUGGAUGAUCCGUAUGGCUUCAACGCCACAAUGGUGAUUGGGGACAGAUCCUUCCCCCUUAGGAGGUGUCAUCCAUUUCAACUCCCUGUCUUAGCCGCUAGGCCCUUGCCAGAACCUUGCAAUGACGGCGUGGAACCACUGGGAGUAUCCAUGGAAACUUGCCUGGACUGGGAGAGAGUCCAGCCAAAGAGGUCGGAAGAGGAAGAAGGAAGAAGAGGAGAACAUAAGGGAACAUAGAUAUAUCAAAGAUCCUUGAUUACUA